AAUGAAAAGGAAUAAUCUGGACAUUGCCACAUGGGAUUAGCCGCAGAGAGAGAUCAGAGAUGUGAGUGAGAUCUCCACCUCCGACCUUCUCUCUCAUCCCACUCUCUCUCUACAACAGCACGCAACUACAUACGCUUCUCUCUGCAUUUUCAGCUUCCUUCGUUUUUUUGGAACCGCAAUGACAGAUCAUGAUUGGUGGAACCAUGAACUGCAUGUUCGUUGUUCAUACUAACAAAGGCCUUCAAUAGGAUGGCCCCGAGUUCACGGUUCACCUAUAGGCGGGCUUCUCGAAAGUUCCAUUGUAUGUUACUGUUAAUACUCGGUUCCAUUUGUGUCGUUGGAAUCAUUGCACAUGCUCAGAAGAUCUCCUACUUUUUCCGCCCCCUUUGGGAUGUUCCUCCACCCCCAUUUGAGCUUCUACCUCAUUAUUACGCAGAAAACGUUUCAAUGGACUAUCUCUGUCGUCUCCAUGGUUGGUCUGUGCGGUCUGAACCACGCCGUGUCUUUGACGCGAUUAUAUUCAGCAAUGAAUUGGACUUGCUAGAGAUUAGGUGGAAAGAACUCGACCCUUACAUUACCAAAUUUGUCAUCUUGGAGGCCAACACUACGUUCACAGGCAUCCCAAAACCUCUCUUCUUUGCUGAGAAUCGUGACAGAUUCGCCUUUGCUGAGAGUAAGAUAGUCCACGGUGUUUUUCCUGGUCGUGUUGCCGAACACGGGUCUCAUGAAGACCCAUUCAAACUCGAAGAAGAGCAUCGUAUAUCUAUGAAUUAUCUACUUCGUGAGCUUUCUGGUAUAUCUUUUGGCGACCUGCUAAUCAUGUCGGAUACAGAUGAAAUACCAAGCCCUCACACUGUCAAACUGCUGCAAUGGUGUGAUGACAUACCUCCUGUUCUUCAUCUGGAAAUGAGGAAUUAUCUGUACUCGUUCGAGUUCCCUGUGGAUUACAGCAGCUGGCGCGCGACUGGCCAUGUUUUCAGUGAGUGGACCCAAUACAGACACUCGCGCCAAACUGAUGUUCUCCUCUCGGAUUCGGGGUGGCACUGCAGCUUCUGCUUCCGGUAUCUAAGCGAAUUCGUGUUCAAAAUGACAGCAUACAGCCACGCAGAGCGGGUGAAACAUAAAGACUUCUUGAAGCAUUCGAGGAUUCAGAAACUCAUCUGCAAGGGUGAUGAUCUGUUUGACAUGUUGCCCGAGGAGUAUACUUUCAAGAACUUGAUCAAGAAGAUGGGAUCAAUACCUCGGUCCGCCUCUGCUGUCCACGUUCCUGCUUACUUGAUACAGAACGCGGACAAGUUUAGGUUUCUUCUGCCUGGAGGUUGUUCUCGUUCACCCGGAUGAUGAACCCCGUCUCCGUACAGAUCGGCAUUUCAUUCAGAUGUGUUCUCCCUGCAUAAUCAGGUGGGAGAAGCAAUUUGCAGCUUCUGCAACUCAAAGAGUCAGCGGCAGAUGCUUUCUCAGUUUCAAAGAGCUAUGCCGGGGGAGGAUUCGCGAUGGUGGAAGCCUCCUCGACGUGGGGUCACCCGGCUGGACGUUGAUGUUUCAGAUAUUAUAGGGGAGAGGUUUUGGUGGUCGUUAGUAAGCGUAUAGGGUUCACGACGACGGUUCUUAUGGAGGAGUUUAUAUGCACUUCUGCUUGGGAUUGGGAUUUGCUUCGAACAUGAUCUUGGAGCUAUUGGAGUGGAUACGAACUCUCUUUUGGCGAUUCAUGUUUUAAGUGAUUCCUUUGGUGGUUGUGAGUCUCUCAGCGACAGAUCUCUUUUGAACCUUUCUCUCAUACUAAGAAACAUGUAGUUCUUGUAUUCAGUCAACCAAUUUUGUGGUUUAUAGUUUUGCAAACUUUAUUAUUUUAUUUCAAGAUGUAAUGACAUGAAAGUCGAACAUUUUCACAAAAAUUACAAUUUCAUUAUAAAA